CCUACGGGAUGCAGCAGUGGGGAAUAUUGCGCAAUGGGCGAAAGCCUGACGCAGCGACGCCGCGUGAGGGAUGAAGGUCUUCGGAUCGUAAACCGCUGUCAGCAGGGAAGAACGGUCACUGUGCUAAUCAGCAGUGAAUUGACGGUACCUGCAAAUGAAGCACCGGCUAACUACGUGCCAGCAGCCGCGGUAAUACGGAGGGUGCGAGCGUUAAUCGGAAUUACUGGGCGUAAAGCGCUCGUAGGCGGUAUGUCAAGUCAAGGGUGAAAUCCCCGCGCUCCACGUGGGAACUGCUUUGGAAACUGGCAAACUAGAGUGUGUUAGAUGAUAGUGGAAUUCCAGGUGUAGGAGUGAAAUCCGUAGAUAUCUGGAGGAACAUCAGAGGCGAAGGCGACUAUCUGGCACAUAACUGACGCUGAGGAGCGAAAGCGUGGGUAGCAAACAGGAUUAGAUACCCCUGUAGUC
rnacentral:rRNA from 1 species